AAACCAACAGGGAUUGCCCUAGUAACGGCGAGUGAAGCGGCAAGAGCUCAAAUUUGAAAUCUGGCCCUCUCAGGGUCCGAGUUGUAAUUUGUAGAGGGCGCUUUGGCGUUGGCCCCGGCCUAAGUUCCUUGGAACAGGACGUCACAGAGGGUGAGAACCCCGUACGUGGCCGCCGGCCUCCGCCGUGUAAAGCCCCUUCGACGAGUCGAGUUGUUUGGGAAUGCAGCUCUAAAUGGGAGGUAAAUUUCUUCUAAAGCUAAAUACUGGCCAGAGACCGAUAGCGCACAAGUAGAGUGAUCGAAAGAUGAAAAGCACUUUGGAAAGAGAGUCAAAAAGCACGUGAAAUUGUUGAAAGGGAAGCGCUUGCAGCCAGACUUGCCUGUAGUUGCUCAUCCGAGCUCCCGCUCGGUGCACUCUUCUGCGGGCAGGCCAGCAUCAGUCCGGGCGGUCGGAUAAAGGCCUCGGGAAUGUAGCUCCCCUCGGGGAGUGUUAUAGCCCGGGGCGCCAUGCGACCAGCCUGGACUGAGGUCCGCGCAUCUGCUAAGAUGCUGGCGUAAUGGC
rnacentral:rRNA from 1 species